rnacentral:rRNA from 1 species
CCUACGGGUGGCAGCAGUGAGGAAUAUUGGUCAAUGGACGCAAGUCUGAACCAGCCAUGCCGCGUGCAGGAAGACAGCUCUAUGAGUUGUAAACUGCUUUUGUACGAGGGUAAACGCAGAUACGCGUAUCUGUUUGAAAGUAUCUUACUAAUAAGGAUCGGCUAACUCCGUGCCAGCAGCCGCGGUAAUACGGAGGAUUCAAGCGUUAUCCGGAUUUAUUGGGUUUAAAGGGUGCGUAGGCGGUCGGCUAAGUUAGAGGUGAAAUCCCGAGGCUCAACGUCGGAAUUGCAUGUGAUACUGUUCGGCUAGAGAGUAGUUGAGGUAGGCGGAAUGAAUGGUGUAGCGGUGAAAUGCUUAGAGAU